rnacentral:rRNA from 1 species
GGCGAGUGAGCGGCAAAGCUCAAAUUUGAAAUCUAGCACCUUCGGUGUUCGAGUUGUAAUUUGAAGAUGGUAACCUUGGGUUUGGCUCUUGUCUAUGUUCCUUGGAACAGGACGUCAUAGAGGGUGAGAAUCCCGUCUGAUGAGAUGCCCAUUCCUAUGUAAGGUGCUAUCGAAGAGUCGAGUUGUUUGGGAAUGCAGCUCUAAGUGGGUGGUAAAUUCCAUCUAAAGCUAAAUAUUGGCGAGAGACCGAUAGCGAACAAGUACAGUGAUGGAAAGAUGAAAAGAACUUUGAAAAGAGAGUGAAAAAGUACGUGAAAUUGUUGAAAGGGAAGGGCAUUAGAUCAGACUUGGUGUUUUACGAUUAUCUUCUCUUCUUGAGUUGUGCACUCGUAUUUCACUGGGCCAGCAUCGAUUCGGAUGGCAAGAUAAUGGCAGUUGAAUGUGGCUUCACUUCGGUGGAGUGUUAUAGCUUCUGCUGAUAUUGCCUGUCUGGAUCGAGGGCUGCGUCUUUUGACUAGGAUGCUGGCGUAAUGAUCUAAUGCCGCCCGUCUGAA